AAGAUUUUAAGCUAAAAAAACUAUUAAUUUUCAAAAUUAAAUAUAAAGACCCAUCUUCUUUAAAUCUUA
rnacentral:tRNA from 1 species